AUUGAACGCUGGCGGCAUGCUUUACACAUGCAAGUCGAACGGUAACAGGCCGCAAGGUGCUGACGAGUGGCGAACGGGUGAGUAAUGCAUCGGAACGUGCCCAGUCGUGGGGGAUAACGCAGCGAAAGCUGCGCUAAUACCGCAUACGAUCUAUGGAUGAAAGCGGGGGACCGUAAGGCCUCGCGCGAUUGGAGCGGCCGAUGUCAGAUUAGGUAGUUGGUGGGGUAAAGGCCUACCAAGCCAACGAUCUGUAGCUGGUCUGAGAGGACGACCAGCCACACUGGGACUGAGACACGGCCCAGACCCCUACGGGAGGCAGCAGUGGGGAAUUUUGGACAAUGGGCGCAAGCCUGAACCAGCAAUGCCGCGUGCAGGAAGAAGGCCUUCGGGUUGUAAACUGCUUUUGUACGGAACGAAAAGGCUCUGGUUAAUACCUGGGGCUCAUGACGGUACCGUAAGAAUAAGCACCGGCUAACUACGUGCCAGCAGCCGCAGUAAUAC
rnacentral:rRNA from 1 species